rnacentral:rRNA from 1 species
CCUACGGGUGGCAGCAGUGGGGAAUAUUGGGCAAUGGGCGCAAGCCUGACCCAGCAACGCCGCGUGAAGGAAGAAGGCUUUCGGGUUGUAAACUUCUUUUAUCAGGGACGAAGCAAGUGACGGUACCUGAUGAAUAAGCCACGGCUAACUACGUGCCAGCAGCCGCGGUAAUGAGUAGGUGGAAAGCGUUAUCCGGAUUUACUGGGUGUAAAGGGCGUGUAGGCGGGUGUGCAAGUCAGAUGUGAAAACUAUGGGCUCAACCCAUGGACUGCAUUUGAUACUGUACUUCUUGAGUGCUGGAGAGGCAGUUGGAAUGCCUGGUGUAGGGGGGAAAUGCGUAGAUAGACGGAGGAA